rnacentral:rRNA from 1 species
AAAUAGAUACCCUGGUAGUCCACGCCGUAAACGAUGAGUGCUAAGUGUUAGGGGGUUUCCGCCCCUUAGUGCUGCAGCGUAACGCAUUAAGCACUCCGCCUGGGGAGUACGGUCGCAAGACUGAAACUCAAAGGAAUUGACGGGGGCCCGCACAAGCGGUGGAGCAUGUGGUUUAAUUCGAAGCAACGCGAAGAACCUUACCAGGUCUUGACAUCCCGCUGACCGCUAUGGAGACAUAGCUUUCCCUUCGGGGACAGCGGUGACAGGUGGUGCAUGGUUGUCGUCAGCUCGUGUCGUGAGAUGUUGGGUUAAGUCCCGCAACGAGCGCAACCCUUGUCCUUAGUUGCCAUCAUUCAGUUGGGCACUCUAAGGAGACUGCCGUACAAAUACGGAGGAAGGUGGGGAUGACGUCAAAUCAUCAUGCCCCUUAUGACCUGGGCUACACACGUGCUACAAUGGACGGUACAAACGGUUGCGAAGUCGCGAGACGGAGCCAAUCCGAGAAAGCCGUUCUCAGUUCGGAUUGCAGG